AUGAGGGAGGGUAGGAGGGGUCCUGAUCCCGAAAUCCCGAGCUUAAAAACACGAAAUCCCGAAAUCCCGGGCUUAAAAAACACGAAAUCCCGAGGUCCCGAAAUUCGAAAAAAGAAUUCUCGGAUCCCGAAAGGGUCAAUCCCGAAAUCCCGGGCUUAAAAACAACCAAUCCCGGAGUCCCGAUAAAGGUCCUAUCCCCCCUCUA
rnacentral:lncRNA from 1 species